CUGAGAAAAGCAGAAACAAGACUCACAAAGACAAAUGCAGAAGAAAUCAUCAGAAGUCUGGAGAUAAUAUGAGCUGCCUCUUUACUCAGUCAUACAAUCCUUAUGGAAUGAUGUUGCUGAACCUAAGGAAUGGGAAUGAUAAUCCUAUUGGAGAAAUACACUAUAUUCUGGUGAAGACCAGUGACAGUAAUCACGGUGUGGGCCUACUGGUGUUACUCAUUGUGUGAACUGUUAAUUAAUUAAGGUUUCAUUGUAUUGGGGUAUGUGAAAGGGUUGGUAUUUGUAUGUCAAGAUUUAGUUUAAAUGAUAUGUUAGUGUUUAAUGUAAUGUAAAUAUGAAGAUUUUUAGAAACUUACAGAAUCUCAAUAAAACCAAUUUUUAGACCCAAA